AUCUAGCCACCCAGGGAACAUCCAUCAGCUGAACUGGUCAGAGCUGGAGGUGUGGUGAGAUACAAGCCUCAGGGUCAGACAGUCGAAAAAGCAGGAUCACCUCCAUCUUGUCCACCACUGCAGACGCCUCCUCCCCACCCCAGACGCAGCCAGGCACCCUGUGGAGAUUGCUGGUAGAGGCCAGGUAAAUCCUCAUCGCAAGGAUGGAACCUCCAAGGGAACGCCUGAGAGAGGGCAGGUCGUCACUGUGUUGGGAAUUCUGCCUCUUAGUGAUAACUUACACCUAACAUCCCAGAAUCCCAUUCCCCAAAAUUCAGCAUGUUCCUUUCUGAGGCCGGAUCUGAUCCUUACGUGAUCAUCACCAGGAGCUCUUACUUAGUCAAGCUUUCCUCCACAGCUGAGGCUUGCAGUCAUCUCUUCUUAGACCAUCAUUUCACCUUUAAUAGACUGUGUUUAAAAAAGUAUAUCUUUUCCCUAUUUAUUUUCUUCUCUCAUGCUUUGGUUUGGUUUUUCUUCCUACCUCUCCUCAUAUUGAUCUUCUUAUCUUUUGGAUAAAACCACACUUUAGCAUUCAUUUCAUUUCCUGUUGCUGCUCAGUUCAUUGGCAACAGAACUGGCCCUUUCCCAAGUUAGAAAUCAGUGACAGUUUUCUGAAUGGCACUGCCAGUGCCUAUCAACCUUGAUAUUAUGAGCAAGUUUCUUAGCAGGCUGGUGGCAUUCAGGUAGCCUUCCAUCUGUCAUAGCAUUCUGGGAUUUCUACCAAGUGUGAAGGUAAGUGAGGUCAGGGAAACCAAAAACAUACUUCUCAGUUUUUGCCAAUGUUCAAAGGUGGGGGUGGUUUUUAGAGUUGGUUGUUUGACCCUGUCCACCUAUAUUCACCUUCUGUCCACCCUCCGCCAGCCCCACAAACAAGCAGUUUGUCAUUUCUCAUAUGGGAACUGAGGCUAGCUCUUUUUCUUCCCCUUGUCCCAUUCUAUAGGAUGUUUCUUCAAUACAACAAGAUUAUAUUUUCCUCUUCUGCAAUAGCUUUCUGCUUCUUGGGUACCACUAGCCAUUGUUGAGUUCAGGUGGGGCUGUCUCUGCCAUACCUAUAAUGUGGGCAGAUAGAACCAGGGUACCCUUUCAGAGAGCAUGGAUGCAGCCUCAGAAAUCUUUGCAACACUUUAGCCAGCCAGGACCAGUUGAUCCGAAUGGAUUUGCUUUGUCUGAUAACAAAUCUUACUUGUGAACUGAUUCUUCCUUGUGUUUCUACCCUGGACUCUCUUGCCAUUUUCCCAAAACAGUUCACCAGCUAUUCAGGAAGCAUCAUCCAUAAAUCACUGUGCGAUGCCAAUCCCUGUGCCCCUGUAUUGCAGAUGCUAAAGGAGGCUGACUUCUUUAGACUAAACAAAAAUCUCUUUGGCCUCCUUUUCCAUUUUUGGAUUCUUGGCCAGUUAUAAGCAAUCUGUGUUUGCCAUUUUGCAGAGGUAAGAUAAGAGUCCGUCCUAUUCUUUUCUAGUCCCACCUUCUAAUAAAGAACACAAAUACUUAAAUUCCAAGGAGAAGUGCUCUUUGCAUAUUUCUCUCUAACAGAAACCAGAUGCUAAUGCGUAAGAAGGAGGAUCUAUCUUUGACAAAGGAAAGUGGACCUUGAAAUCAGUCAUCUGAGGAUUUCAUGCCAGAAGGGUUGCUAUCAGCAACUGUUUAGCACCUUCAGGGCUUUGAAAAGGACUCUGCGGACAGCAUUCCAGGAUCAUUUUGUCCACCUUCUGCUUUAAUUCCAAGCGCGUAAACAAAACCUCAAAGGGCCUGAGAAGGUAAGGCACACCAGAGUCUGUGUUGUGUGUUGGGUGUCAAGCUAUUUGUGAAGAAGGUCCCUGCAGUGGACCUUUGGUGUGGGCUCUGCCAGAGACUGUUGUGAACACUUUGCUUGAGAUCCGUGCCCUGUGAAAUGGAUAUGAUGUUUUACUGAUGUCUGUAAUACAUUUGUAAACUUCCAAUAAAAUUUGAAUAAAAGAAA
ensembl:lncRNA